rnacentral:misc_RNA from 1 species
ACGCGGAUCGGGUGGUGCCCUCGCUUCCUGGGUCGGAUCCACUGGGAAGGUCUCGAGAUACCUCGUUUUUCGGGAUAGUCGCGACGAGUUCUCGGGUCGCAUUUUACGAGACCUCGCUUCCCGAGGCGGCGUCGACGAAUCCCUCGUGUCUCUCGAGAGCGGAUUUCUCGUUUUCGUCGGAUUCCCCGCGUUCUCGAACUCGGUGGGCUCAGGUGUAGCGCAUUCUCCGAGACCCAAAGAAGGGAUCCGGAGGGUCCCUCGGGGCAAAGCGUGGGAGCGAGGGUCGCGGGGCCGAGCGGGAGGGAGGCGGCGAACAAUGGCCGGAACGCGCAGCCGGCGGUGACUCGACGUCGGAAGUCGGCCGGACAGCGUCGGGACGCGCGGCCCAGAUCUCCGCUACUUGGAAUCGCUCGGGGAUCCGACGUAUCUCGCUCUCCGAGAACCCGAAGACGAUCGGCGGGGAUUUUCCGCCGUCGGCUCGGAGUAUCCCGACGCUCCGCAGGUGGUCGUUGGAGAGGAAAAAGGGGAUCGUUUGUAGAAAUUGUUUUAAAAAAAAUUCGAGCCCUCCCCUCGGCGCCCACGUGGACGCUCCCCGCCCCGCCCGCGAGCGGAAUGCGCAGGGCCGACUCGGAAGCGGACGCGAGCGGUGACACCUGCUGGGCGGACCUUGGGGCAGGUCGUGCGCGCGGCCUAGGUCAGGGUCAAGGCCGCGGGCAUGGCGCCCGCCAACGUGCUGGACUGGUCGGAGCCCUGCCAGCGACUCCGAUACCCUAGGCUCUACCCUUCCGCGAAACUCGCCCCUCCCGCUCCCGACGCCGACGCCGGCGUCGCCAAGGGCGCCGACACCGCCUACAAGAAGAUCUGCAAGUUCCUCAGGGCGCUGCGCUCGCGGAAACGUGGUGCAAUGUACAAUGCAGGCAAGGAUGGCAGCAAAGUGACGACAGUGGUGGCCACUCCCGGAGCCGGUCCUGACCGUCCUCAAGAAGUCUCCUACACCGACACCAAGGUAAUCGGCAAUGGCAGCUUCGGGGUCGUCUACCAGGCCAAACUCUGCGACACUGGCGAGCUGGUCGCCAUCAAGAAGGUCCUCCAAGACAAGCGGUUCAAAAACAGGGAACUGCAGAUCAUGCGACGCCUCGAGCAUUGCAACAUCGUCAGACUCAAAUACUUCUUCUACUCCAGCGGUGAUCAGAAGGACGAGGUUUAUCUCAAUCUAGUCCUGGAAUACAUCCCCGAAACUGUGUACAAAGUUGCCCGACACUACAGCAAGAGCAAACAGACGAUACCGAUCAGCUUCAUCAAGCUGUACAUGUACCAGCUGUUCCGCUCGUUAUCGUACAUCCACUCGCUGGCGAUCUGCCACCGAGACAUCAAACCGCAGAACCUGCUUCUGGACCCGGAGACCGGCGUGCUCAAGCUCUGCGACUUCGGCUCGGCCAAACACCUUGUCAAAGGAGAGCCUAAUGUGUCUUACAUAUGCAGUCGUUAUUAUCGCGCGCCCGAGCUGAUAUUCGGUGCUAUCGAUUAUACCACGAAGAUCGACGUGUGGAGCGCAGGUUGCGUCCUGGCGGAGCUUCUCCUCGGGCAGCCGAUCUUCCCGGGCGACAGCGGCGUCGACCAGCUGGUGGAGAUCAUCAAGGUCCUGGGCACGCCGACCCGCGACCAGAUCCGCGAGAUGAACCCGAACUACACCGAGUUCAAGUUCCCGCAGAUCAAGUCGCACCCCUGGCAAAAGGUGUUCAGGGCACGCACGCCCCCCGAGGCGAUGGACCUGGUGGCCCGGCUGUUGGAGUACACGCCCUCCCUGCGAAUAGCGCCUCUUCAGGCUUGCGCCAGCCCCUUCUUCGACGAGCUCCGGGAGCCGGGGACCCGGUUGCCGAACAACCGGGAGCUGCCGCCGUUGUUCAACUUCACCGAGCAGGAGCGACGGGUCUCCCCGGGUCUGAUAUCCCGGCUGAUCCCGAAGCACGUCAAGAGCACCGAGAGCACCGGGGCCGGCCAGUCGGAGGCGACGAGCGCGGCCGCGGGCGCCAGCGGCAACUCCAACGACAGCGCCGUCAGCACGACCACCCCCACCACCACGCAGAACGCGGACCCCAGCCAGUCGACCAUGGCUUAAGCUUCUUUACUUUGUUAACGUCAUCGGAAGAGAGAAAGAGAGAGAGACCUCGAGGAGGCGGGAGAGGUUUCGAGCACUUGAACGGUUCUUUCGAAGAUCCACCGUGGACGUCCCGGAGUCUUCUGCCCGCAGAAGUCGAGAGGUACUCUUCAGGGUGCCGUUGAGGAUGACCCCCGAUAAAACGCGG